rnacentral:rRNA from 1 species
GACAGAGGAUGCAAGCGUUAUCCGGAAUGAUUGGGCGUAAAGCGUCUGUAGGUGGCUUUUUAAGUCCGCCGUCAAAUCCCAGGGCUCAACUCUGGACAGGCGGUGGAAACUACCAAGCUGGAGUACGGUAGGGGCAGAGGGAAUUUACGGUGUAGCGGUGAAAUGCGUAGAUAUCUGGAGGAACACCGGUGGCGAAGGCGGCAUCCUGGACCAACACUGACGCUGAGUGAGCGAAAGCCAGGGGAGCAAACGGG